rnacentral:tRNA from 1 species
GCCGACAUAGCACAAUUGGUAGUGCAACUGAUUUGUAAUCAGUAGGUUUGAAGUUCAAGUCUUCAUGUCGGCACCA